AAAGUUCUUAAAUUGAUAUAAAUUCUUGGCCCCUUGGCAAUUUCAUCUAAUUAAUUCAUUUAAGCAACUACUAAAUCCAAUACAGAAAAUAAUAACAAACAUUUCGGCAUCCAUUACAAUUGCCAUUAGAGGGAUGUCUCGAUCAGGACCUGGUUUGAGGUACCGGUAUUUAUUUCAUUUGUCUUCUACUACUACAAUGUCAGUGUACGCCUCUGGGCUCUGCCAUUCCAGCUUUUCUCCAACUCUUUACCCAAUACAGACAUGUAAUUGUACGAUGAACCACCUUCACUUACAGCCUUCUCUGCACUUUCUUUGAGUUCUCGAACUCUCGUUCUUAUUUCCCUUCCUUCUUCAUCAACCAUAAUUCUUCUAAUCAUCCUCUCUAUCUCCUCCCUCUUCACUACUUCUUUCGCCGGUAUAUUCUUUGGCCUAACUGCUAUGCCAAGCUCCUCCGUCAACAGCGUCGCGUUCAGCCUCUGCUCUGCAUAUAAUGGCCAUGCAAUAAUAGGCACUCCUUCGGUGAUGCUCUCCAAGAUAGAAUUCCAACCGCAAUGUGAUAAAAAUGCUCCCACUGAUGGGCGGCUCAUGAUCUGAACUUGUGGGCUCCAUUGUGGAACCACCUGACCUAAUUUCUGGAUCCUGCUCAAGAACCCAUCAGGGAAGUACCCUGACAUGUCAUCUUCACCGCCGCCUUGAGUGAAAAAUGCUCCAUCUCCUGUCUUUGUGGUGGGUGGGCGAACCACCCAAAUAAAUCUCUGCUGGCUCAGCUCAAGACCCCAAGCAAGCUCCAUCAUUUGCUCCGCAGACAAAGUCCCACCACUUCCAAAUGACACAUAAACCACCGACUCUUUGGGUUGCUGGUCUAACCAAUCGAGCAACUCACAAUUUGAGCCACACGGUCCGAGAGGAGAAACAAACUCUCCCUCCACCUCUUUAUCUAGGGUUGGUACAUGUAAAGUAAGAGCUAAAAACCAUGCAUUAGAAGCCAUGUACACAUACUUUGGGAUGCCAAGUUCUUUAGCUACCUGCAAAGAUUCAGUUCCAAAGAUGUCCACGAUUAUGGCUGCCGGUCGAAACUUGAGAGCAAAUACUGCCGAUCGGAAAGCUGGCCUGAUUUCUCUCAUCAUAACAGCAAGUUGGGUAACGACGGUGGCUCCAGGGUCGAUCAGGCCGGAAAUGUUAACUGGUGGGAGUUGGAUGAUUUCGCAGAGUUUUGGGAUCAUGGCUGACUGGAGAACUUGAGUUUCAACUGGAGAUGUGUGAGUUUCUACCACAUAUAUAACCACAUCAAAGUUGCAGAGUCUGACUAGACUUUUUCCCAGUUCGAGAAUCGGGAUCAGGUGACCCAAGCCAGGGCUUGAUAGUAAUAUUAUAUGGGGUUUAGGUUUUGCGCCUACGGUCGCCAUGGCCAUGAAACUUGGAGGGAACUGUGGAAAUAGAGAUGAAAAGGCAGUGGAAACACUGCACUUGAAAAGUAGGUUAGAAGUUGAGAGAAAAUUAUAAGUAACUCUCAAAAUCACAAAUUAUAAGUUACCCUCAAAUUAUAGGUUAG
rnacentral:misc_RNA from 1 species